rnacentral:rRNA from 1 species
GUAGGUGGCAAGCGUUGUCCGGAAUUAUUGGGCGUAAAGCGCGCGCAGGCGGUUCUUUAAGUCUGAUGUGAAAGCCCACGGGCUCAACCGUGGAGGGUCAUUGGAAACUGGAGAACUUGAGUACAGAAGAGGAAAGCGGAAUUCCACGUGUAGCGGUGAAAUGCGUAGAGAUGUGGAGGAACACCAGUGGCGAAGGCGGCUUCCUGGUCUGUAACUGACGCUGAGGCGCGAAAGCGUGGGGAGCAAACAGGAUUAGAUACCCUGGUAGUCCACGCCGUAAACGAUGAGUGCUAAGUGUUAGGGGGUUUCCGCCCCUUAGUGCUGCAGCUAACGCAUUAAGCACUCCGCCUGGGGAGUACGGCCGCAAAGGCUG